rnacentral:rRNA from 1 species
UCGAGAAUUUUUCUCAAUGGGCGAAAGCCUGAAGGAGCGACGCCGCGUGGGGGAUGAAUGGCUUCGGCCCGUAAACCCCUGUCAUUUGCGAACAAACCUUGUCAUUUAAAAGAUGACGAGCUGAUUGUAGCGGAAGAGGAAGGGACGGCUAACUCUGUGCCAGCAGCCGCGGUAAUACAGAGGUCCCAAGCGUUGUUCGGAUUCACUGGGCGUAAAGGGUGCGUAGGUGGCUGGGUAAGUCUAAUGUGAAAUCUCCGAGCUUAACUCGGAAACUGCAUCGGAUACUAUCUAGCUCGAGGGUUGGAGGGGGGACUGGAAUUCUCGGUGUAGCAGUGAAAUGCGUAGAUAUCGAGAGGAACACCAGUGGCGAAGGCGAGUCCCUGGACAACUCCUGACACUGAGGCACGAAAGCUAGGGGAGCAAACAGGAUUAGAUACCCCCGUAGUCC